rnacentral:rRNA from 1 species
AUGAAGUGGCGCCAAGCUUCUGGCAUUCUCUGUGACAAGAGAGUGCCACAAAAGCUAAAAGGCAAGUUCUACAGGACGGCAGUUCGACCCGCAAUGUUGUAUGGCGCUGAGUGUUGGCCGACUAAAAGACGACAUGUUCAACAGUUAGGUUUGGCGGAGAUGCGUAUGUUGAGAUGGAUAUGUCGCCACACGAGGAAGGAUCGAGUCUGGAAUGAUGAUAUAUGA